AUAUUUUCACAGUUUACAGCUUCAGGAAGAGGCUUGAGCAUUGGUGGAAGAGGCUGAGACACCCAGGCCGGUCCUUCUCCACCCCACGGCGAUGCAAUCAGGAGAAAUGGUGGUUCAGUAUCCUGAUCUUUGCUGAACCACUAUUUCAUUGUUAGUCCUACACUAACAUACGUGGACGUACUCAAGAAUGACGCAGGAGCACAAAGUACCAAUGAAGUGGCCAGAUGUAUGGAGAACCGGGAUGACUGGAAGCGACGAUGGAGGGCUCGUAUGAAGACGACCUAGACAGAUCCUGACCUAUGCACACUGCGGCAUGCGAACCGGGAAUCAAACUGCAAAUAUCCUGAUAAGUGCAAUACCCUCACAUAUCAAACUUUAGAAUGAUUCUGACUAUUUAUUUAACUUAAGCCUAAAAUCUAGUUUGUUGCAUCUGUGAACUUAUAUAUCGACAAUAAAGAAACAUGUUGAAAUA